CAAAUCUAUCUUGCUAGCUCUAAGCCAUUGCAUGAUCGAAUCCUCCAUUUUUCUUUAGCUUCUCCUUUUCACUUUUCGAGCUCGCUCGUAGCUUUCACUCUGCUGUGGAGAGAGAUGGCAACCAACGGAGAUGUGGCGAUGAAAGGGAACGGAACGGCGAUGCCGAAGUCGCCGAUGAGGUUGAGAAAGAUCACGACGAGCGACAAACAUGAUGGGAUCUGCCAAGAUAUGAGCGCACCCACCGUGAAGGCCCAGACCAUUGACGAGCUUCACUCCCUUCAGAGGAAGAAAUCUGCGCCGACGACACCAAAUCAAGGAAUUCAAGGUGCCUUUGCUGCUAUCUCUGAAGAAGAACGCCAAAAACAGCAG
rnacentral:misc_RNA from 1 species